CACGAUUGUCACGUGGCGGACCGGUAAGAUCGUGCAGUGUGUUUACAAGCUCAGUGUCAGCUGAUGACAUUUGUUAAUGGCGUGAUCUCAUGGUGUGACGUAGUCGGGGCACCGUAAGGAGUUCAGAACUCAGGUUCAAAAGGCAACAUUGAACAGAUGUUGCUUACAGGUGAAUUAAGAAGCUUAUACUUUUCACAUGCAAGAUAACAAAGUUUCAACAAUGGCAUUCGUGUACCAGACGACACCAACAGAACUGUACUACUGCACUUCCGGAAUACCCCUCACAAGGGCUCGGCACCUGACGUAGGUCAUACUCGCGCACACAUAACGUACAGUCUGUAUAAUGACCACCCUGGAAACAUUUGACUAUUUGGUUUUGGACAUAUGAUGUCUGAUGAUGAUGAUUAAAGUGGUGGUUAAUGUUGAUGGAACAAA